rnacentral:rRNA from 1 species
UACAGAGGGUGCAAACGUUGCUCGGAAUCAUUGGGCGUAAAGCGCACGUAGGCGGCCCAGCAAGUGGGGAGUGAAAGCCCUCGGCUUAACCGAGGAAGUGCUUUCCAAACUACUGGGCUUGAAUACUGGAGAGGGUCGCGGAAUUCCCGGUGUAGAGGUGAAAUUCGUAGAUAUCGGGAGGAACACCAGUGGCGAAGGCGGCUCACUGGCUCAUAUCUGGCGCUCAGGCGCGACAGCGUGGGGAUCAAACAGG